rnacentral:rRNA from 1 species
CCCUUAGAUGUCCUGGGCCGCACGCGCGCUACACUGAUGCAUUCAACGAGUUUUUCCUUGGCCGAGAGGCCUGGGCAAUCUUUUGAACGUGCAUCGUGAUAGGGAUAGAUUAUUGCAAUUUUUAAUCUUGAACGAGGAAUUCCUAGUAAACGCAGUUCAUCAAUCUGCAUUGAUUACGUCCCUGCCCUUUGUACACACCGCCCGUCGCACCUACCGAUUGAAUGGUCCGGUGAAGCCUCGGGAUUGUGGCUAGUUCCCUUCAUUGGGAGUUGGUUGCGAGAACUUGUCUAAACCUUAUCAUUUAGAGGAAGGUGAAGUCGUANCA